AUGAAUUUCAGAACCUGCUGCUGAUUCUCUGCCUCUGAAUGAAGAUUCACCUUCACGCCGGACUGCAACUUCUUUCCUCUGUCCACCUUCUGUGCCUUGCAGGAAGUUCUGGGAUUUACAUG